rnacentral:rRNA from 1 species
AUUGAACGCUGGCGGCAGGCCUAACACAUGCAAGUCGAGCGGAUGAAGGGAGCUUGCUCCUGGAUUCAGCGGCGGACGGGUGAGUAAUGCCUAGGAAUCUGCCUGGUAGUGGGGGAUAACGUCCGGAAACGGGCGCUAAUACCGCAUACGUCCUGAGGGAGAAAGUGGGGGAGCUUCGGACCUCACGCUAUCAGAUGAGCCUAGGUCGGAUUAGCUAGUUGGUGGGGUAAAUGCCUACCAAGGCGACGAUCCGUAACUGGUCUGAGAGGAUGAUCAGUCACACUGGAACUGAGACACGGUCCAGACUCCUACGGGAGGCAGCAGUGGGGAAUAUUGGACAAUGGGCGAAAGCCUGAUCCAGCCAUGCCGCGUGUGUGAAGAAGGUCUUCGGAUUGUAAAGCACUUUAAGUUGUGAGGAAGGGCAGUAAGUUAAUACCUUGCUGUUUUGACGUUACCAACAGAAUAAGCACCGGCUAACUUCGUG